ACGGCAAGAUUCUGGAAGCCGAGCAGCAAAUGUACCCGAGUUCUCGUUAUGUGCGCGGAUAAGACUGCAUAACUGUUUCAGAAAUGCUAGCUUAGAGCGCAGGACCAGACUUUCUGAUGACGUAAAUGGCGUCAUGCUUGGUUAUGAUGAGUUCGUCACAUUACUGUAUAGAGAUAAGACUAAGAUGGAAGUGGAACCAAACAAGCGGCGCAGAUUUCGAGGUCGGCUGCACUAAGUGGACAGAAUAAAUUGUUUACAAACUUGACUGUUUAAUCUCGUGACGUGAGCGGAAAAGCCUCUGGAGACAGUUACUGUAGCGUGAUGGAAUAUAAAGGAUGUCAGUUUGGUUGUACAUCCUGUUGCAUCAAACUUUUAUGAGGUUUAAAUCAAUGAAGUAAAUCGAAACAAUUGAGACAUAUCAGGUAGGUGGAAGGCAGUUCAAUGGAAAAUUUCUCGCGAGGCCUAGCUCAUUAAGCGUAUCAGAACUUAUUUUUUGUUCUCUUUUUUUUACCCUGUAACUGAAAAUGGUCGCAUGGAUGGUUGAAAGUGAUACUUAAUAAGUCGAGGCUAUGAUUGACUUGCGGCGCCCUUAAGAUAACCGGCUGACGUAACUAAAAUAAAUCAGAGGCGCCUGAUAAUGCUGACGUCCGAUCUCAACCUUAUCAUUGUAAUUGGACACGUCUGUUGUUUAAAGUGCGGAAGACUUUCCUCGAAGAGGAGAAAAAUCUGUUGAACACCCUUAAUGAGCUGACAACCGUUCUGUAAGUAACCCUGUAAAUUGCUUAUCUGUGGAUAUCUUUCCCGAAAGAUUUGCACAGAGUCUUUUCUACGACAGCGUUUCACAAGCGGUUGCCUUCAAUGUUUCCAAAUAAAAGACCGGGUGAAGAUAAUCCGAGGUCUCUUAAGUUCGCAUUACGGUCAUCAAGGCAAGUUUUGCUUCGGUGUAAGGUCAGUCAACAAUCAACUCGACUGCAAGAUACAGUGUUUGCGAGAACCACGACUUGUUUUUUUACACCACAGAUUUUCAUAUUUCUUAGCAAGUGGACUUAAACAAAAGAGCGCUGAAUUACAACGCUCAGGGAAGCUCAGCAGGAAAGAAUUUGCUCCAAACUUCUUGGUCUGUCCUACUGAAGGUGUCCUGAAGCUGCCUGGGAGAAGCUGUCCCUUGGAGCUUUGCUCAGCCAUAUUCUUGAAUAAAUAUAGCGGAACUGUGAUUGGAUUCUACUCGUUUGCUGAUAAAAGUAAUUAAAGACCAUGAACGCCCGACUUAAAGCCAAGAUAUUGAAGCGCGGGAGCCUCAUUGAAAGGAAGAAAACUGUUGGCGACGAGACAAGGUUUCUCUUAAUCUCUGGAAACAGUCCCGAAGCUGCUGAACAGAAACAAAUGUUUGAUUUACACAAAAAUUCAAGUGGCUUGAGCCCGUUGGUCCAAGAUCUUCAAUCUGUGAAAGGGACAAGCUCGAUUGUGCAGAAUUGUUUUACAACAACUCGAGCGUCGAGUGAGGGAAAGUGUAAACCAAAAUCUCGCGAGUCAUGCAGUUAUCCACAUAUUCCAGCAACUGUUAGCGAUGAUGUAAAGAGUUGGCUUCCAAGUCCGUUACCAAUGAGGCGUCGCAAUGCAAUUUGCGAUGAGAUCGAAAAAAGGACCGUAGCUGUGUCAGGUAGAACUUUAAGGCAAAAGAGAGUUGAUAUGCUUCGCUCCAUUGCGUUGACGCAAUUCGCUUUGUUAUAAACGUUUUUGUUCUAAUUCAAUGCCAACGAUUCAUAAAUUUCGCUUUCAUGUUUCAUGUUACAUAAAAUUCUCAGUCUGAAGCAUAUCUUUCCUUAGAAAAAUGAUUAAACUCGAGUUUGGGUAUAUACUCCCAAUUCAAUUCUCUACAAAAAAUUAUCUUGGAUUUCUAGGCUCCUACAAAGUGGAAAAUGGGGAAGUCAAUCCUAGUUCAUAAUCCCUUGAUUAUGUAGUCUAUAUGGAAUGCUGUUUACAACGUAGAAAUGUAGUUACGGUAUUUACAUGUAAGCAUUCUCACGGACCAUGAGUUCUGUAAAAUACCUUUAUUUGAAAUAACGUAACUUAGCAAAAUUUGUUCCGAGCCGUUGUAAUAAUAUGUUUCAUUUCUCAUUAAUUAAAACAUUCAGUGUUGUUACCAAA